UUUAUGUUUUUAAAGUGUUAGUGUUAGCUAGCAGCUCAACAUCCUUUAGCAGUCUUUAGCAGCAACCUUCACAGCCAAAUGUGUGCAUGUACAGUUAUAGGCAGCAGCUUCUACAUGUCACAACAUGGCGCAUGGCUUUUAGAAAUUUAGAUAAUGAUGCCAAAAUAAUUAAAUUGUUCUUUUAACAAAAAAUACUGACAUAUUACAUUUUUUUCCAGUUAAAACCUUCCAAUAUCUAUCUAAAUUUAUUUUUGUUAGUCUCAAAAAUAUUGGUAAUGAUGAUUUAGUCUAUUUUGUCCAGGUUCUGGUCUUAACAUCACAAGAAGUAGAAAGCAGUGGCUAAAUGGGUAUUGCUAACUUUAGCACCUUUAAAGCAUAAAUAUUUAUAGAUAAACAUUUAAUUUAGCUAAAACUCAAUGUGAAUUCUUGUGAAAUAGAAGAAAACUAGAUGUAGGAAAUACUUCAUAAAAUCAAAAAUAUAAAUCCAAAUAUAUAUAGCUAAGUAUUUAUAUUCUAGCUUAAUGCUAAAACUCAGUAUAGAAAACUAUAAAACUGAAUAAGGUGCACAUUCAGGGACAUCUCCAAAGAGGUGUGUUCAUCUGUGUGUUCAGCUAGCAAAGCAUCGAUGUAGCAAAAACAUUACUUAAAUUCUUACAAAAUUAUUAGAACUGCAGACUGAAGCAAUACUACCAAAUUAAAAUAUCAAUUCCUGUAGAGCUAGCGAAACAAACGGAACUCAAAAGAGAUUCUUAUAAAACUCUAGAAUCCAAUAAAGAUGAGGAGAGACGCAGGUAAAGAAUUCACUGGCACAUUAAGUAAAGGGAAAUGAAGAAGUGCUAGCUUGAUAGAUUAAACAAAUGUAAUGGACAAUGAUUCUUGUGAAAUUCAUGUCUUACUAAAACUCAAGGUCGUAAAUUCAAGGUCAUAGCAUAUGUGUUUACUAUUCUACACUGUGGUUCUUCAAAACUCAAAACUUAACAUGUGCUGGAAGGCUAUAUUUAUCAGUGCUCAUGCUGCUACAUUUUGGCCCUCUGAAAAUAUUGGGUUCAAGUUCAGCUGACUUCAGCUGCAUAAAGUGACUUAUAUAAACGCAGAGCCCUGCAAGACAUCAGUGACAUAGCACAUAUAUCUACUUUGAGCGUCUUAUGUCUUAAACACCAUGAGGUGUGAUUCUUGGCCAGAGCUCCUUGAAUUUCUAGAAUAUCUUAAAAAGAAGAGCAAUUCAAGGUACUUUUCAGUGACUGCACUGUGGUAUUAAAACUUAACAUACAACUUCAACUUGCAAGGAAAACACAGCUUAGUACCCUUCAACAUAAAGUUGGCACCUGCAAAUCUUCAAAGCAAGAUUCAUCCACGCCUUUUUAAAUUCUCUGCCUCCACCUCAACUUGCAGUCUCAUCUAAAGGAUUCAUACCCCCACAAGAACUUUAUCAACUUAAACACUCUUGCCAAAGCAAGCUAGACUGUUACUGCGUUCCACAAAACGUGAGCACUUCAUCAACCUAUAAAUAACAAGGAACCAAAAAUGUUUUCAACUCUGUGUCAAUGUCCUAGUUGACAUCACUUGGAGUUAAGCUCUUUUGGACAUUC